GAGUUUGAUCGUGGCUCAGAUUGAACGCUGGCGGCAGGCUUAACACAUGCAAGUCGAGCGGGGGAGAUUGCUUCGGUAAUUGACCUAGCGGCGGACGGGUGAGUAAUACUUAGGAAUCUGCCUAUUAAUGGGGGACAACAUCUCGAAAGGGAUGCUAAUACCGCAUACGCCCUACGGGGAAAGCAGGGGAUCACUUGUGACCUUGCGUUAAUAGAUGAGCCUAAGUCGGAUUAGCUAGUUGGUGGGGUAAAGGCCUACCAAGGCGACGAUCUGUAGCGGGUCUGAGAGGAUGAUCCGCCACACUGGGACUGAGACACGGCCCAGACUCCUACGGGAGGCAGCAGUGGGGAAUAUUGGACAAUGGGGGGAACCCUGAUCCAGCCAUGCCGCGUGUGUGAAGAAGGCCUUAUGGUUGUAAAGCACUUUAAGCGAGGAGGAGGCUCCUGUAGUUAAUACCUACAGAGAGUGGACGUUACUCGCAGAAUAAGCACCGGCUAACUCUGUGCCAGCCGCCGCGGU
rnacentral:rRNA from 1 species